rnacentral:miRNA from 1 species
GAUCAGCUGACACAUCCCGGCCAAUCUCCAGCAGACCCUCCCUCCCAGACCCUCCCACCUCCUGGACAGCAUCCAUGUUGAAGGCAGCUUUAACAUGGAUGCUGUCCAGGAAGUAGGAGGGUCUGGGAGGGAGGGUCUGUUGGAGAUUGGCCGGGAUGUGCCAGCUGA